UACAGAGGUCUCAAGCGUUGUUCGGAUUCAUUGGGCGUAAAGGGUGCGUAGGUGGCGCCGUAAGUCGGGUGUGAAAUCUCGGAGCUUAACUCCGAAACUGCAUUCGAUACUGCCGUGCUUGAGGACUGGAGAGGAGACUGGAAUUUACGGUGUAGCGGUGAAAUGCGUAGAUAUCAGGAAGAACACCCGUGGCGAAAGCGGCUCUCUGGAACGGUACUGACGCUGAGACGCGAAAGCGUGGGGAGCGAACAGG
rnacentral:rRNA from 1 species